rnacentral:rRNA from 1 species
AAUAUUGCGCAAUGGAGGAAACUCUGACGCAGCGACGCCGCGUGAGCGAUGAAGGUCUUCGGAUCGUAAAGCUCUGUCCUUGGGGAAGAAGGUCUUCGGACUUGACGGUACCCAUGGAGGAAGCCCCGGCUAACUACGUGCCAGCAGCCGCGGUAACACGUAGGGGGCGAGCGUUGUCCGGAAUCACUGGGCGUAAAGAGCACGUAGGCGGAUUAUUAAGUCAGAUGUGAAAACUCUGGGCUCAACCUAGAGACUGCAUCUGAAACUGGUAGUCUUGAGUAUAGAAGAGGAGAGUGGAAUUCCUAGUGUAGCGGUGAAAUGCGUAGAUAUUAGGAGGAACACCAGUGGCGAAGGCGACUCUCUGGUCUAUAACUGACGCUGAGGUGCGAAAGCGUGGGGAGCAAAC